ensembl:snRNA U6 U6 spliceosomal RNA
GUGCUUGCUUUGUCAGCACAUAUACUAAAAUUGGAAUGAUACAGAGAAGAUUAGCAAGGUCCCUGUGCAAGGAGAACAUGCAAAUUCAUGAAGUGUUCCAUAUUUAU